AGAGUUUGAUCAUGGUUCAGGAUGAACGCUAGCUACAGGCUUAACACAUGCAAGUCGAGGGGAAACGAUAUUGGAAGCUUGCUUCCGAUAGGCGUCGACCGGCGCAUGGGUGAGUAACGCGUAUCCAACCUGCCCACCACUUGGGGAUAACCUUGCGAAAGUAAGACUAAUACCCAAUGAUAUCUCUAGAAGACAUCUGAAAGAGAUUAAAGAUUUAUCGGUGAUGGAUGGGGAUGCGUCUGAUUAGCUUGUUGGCGGGGUAACGGCCACCAAGGCGACGAUCAGUAGGGGUUCUGAGAGGAAGGUCCCCCANAUUGGAACUGAGACACGGUCCAAACUCCUACGGGAGCA
rnacentral:rRNA from 1 species